CCCUGUAUUGAAAGGUGAUCAUGGCGUCCUCGUCGCCCGGUUAUUAUUUUAUUACAGGAAGAAGAAACUGCAAACCUUUCCCUGUAUUUGCAGGACGUCACUUCCUGUCAAACCCUGGUGUUUGCACACA
rnacentral:snoRNA from 1 species